rnacentral:rRNA from 1 species
AGGGUACUCGAGUGGCGAACGGGUGAGUAACACGUGGGUGAUCUGCCCUGUACUUUGGGAUAAGCCUGGGAAACUGGGUCUAAUACCGAAUAUGACCACUUCUUGGAUGGGGUGGUGGAAAGCUUUUGCGGUAUGGGAUGAGCUCGCGGCCUAUCAGCUUGUUGGUGGGGUAAUGGCCUACCAAGGCGUCGACGGGUAGCCGGCCUGAGAGGGUGUACGGCCACAUUGGGACUGAGAUACGGCCCAG